rnacentral:misc_RNA from 1 species
GAAAUAGAAGAACAAUGAAAGAAAGUUGAUGUGUAGUAUUACUUUUGUUUUUGAUAAUGGAAGUUACCUUCACUAAGCCAGUUACUUGUUUUAGGUUUUUAGUUGAGUUUUAUUGCUGAGAUAUAAGUACUUUAUUUCCUUGUCAUUUUAUAUUUUAAAUUUGUCAAUUCUUGGUCUGCAUUUAUGAUUGGUGUUGCAUUCUAUGGUUACUAUCCAGCAAAUAUGUGCUAUUCUUUAAGAAGUUGAUUUUAUGGUUCGAUUACUUGAUGUUUUUUUGUGUGCUUUGUGGCUGUGAUUCCUCUGGCUAAUGCCUUGAUGGCUGCAGAGAUAUUAUUUCUUUUUAAUUGGAUUUCAUAUUCCCUUUCUGUAGCUUCUUUGUGAGUGCUUGGGGUAACUGUAUUAUGUAAAUGGAUAGGCUACCUAGUUUC